GACCUGGUAGCGCAUGGUGUGCAUCUGCUUUCAAUUGCCGAUCUAUCUCUACCAAAAUUGAAGCAGAAGGCCCUGGUUCAACUCCAGGCUGGGUCA